rnacentral:misc_RNA from 1 species
AUCACAUCUUAGAAUUUUAUGCAACUAAAGAAUUGGGAAAAAUAGAAAAGAGAAAGAAAAGCACUGAUGAAAUAAAUAAACAACAUUAACACAAGUACGGCAACUGACUUAUCUCAACAUUAACCACAUCCCCAUUUCCAUAUGUUUGAGAAUUUGAAGCCUAAACGACUGGCAUAAGCAGUGACUCAUCUCAACAUACGCCUUGAAUUCUAAUGAAAUUCUCAUCUCUUAAUUGUCUCUUUUAAUGGACAAACAUGACACUCCAUUUCCCAGUAUUUAGAUCCCAAAAAGCGUGACA